rnacentral:rRNA from 1 species
GAUGAACGCUGGCGGCGUGCUUAACACAUGCAAGUCGAACGAACCUUCGGGUCAGUGGCGGACGGGUGAGUAACGCGUGAGAAUCUGCCCUCAGGAGGGGGAUAACGGUUGGAAACGACCGCUAAUACCCCAUAUGCCUACUGGUGAAACGAAUUUCGCCUGAGGAUGAGCUCGCGUCUGAUUAGCUAGUUGGUGAGGUAAUGGCUCACCAAGGCUUCGAUCAGUAGCUGGUCUGAGAGGAUGAUCAGCCACACUGGGACUGAGACACGGCCCAGACUCCUACGGGAGGCAGCAGUGGGGAAUUUUCCGCAAUGGGCGAAAGCCUGACGGAGCAACGCCGCGUGAGGGACGAAGGCCUCUGGGCUGUAAACCUCUUUUCUCAAGGAAGAAGAUAUGACGGUACUUGAGGAAUAAGCCACGGCUAAUUCCGUGCCAGCAGCCGCGGUAAUACGGGAGUGGCAAGCGUUAUCCGGAAUUAUUGGGCGUAAAGCGUCCGCAGGCGGCUUUUCAAGUCUGCUGUUAAAGCGUGGAGCUUAACUCCAUCAUGGCAGUGGAAACUGAAAGGCUUGAGUAUGGUAGGGGCAGAGGGAAUUCCCGGUGUAGCGGUGAAAUGCGUAGAUAUCGGGAAGAACACCAGUGGCGAAGGCGCUCUGCUGGGCCAUUACUGACGCUCAUGGACGAAAGCCAGGGGAGCGAAAGGGAUUAGAUACCCCUGUAGUCCUGGCCGUAAACGAUGAACACUAGGUGUCGGGGGAAUCGACCCCUUCGGUGUCGUAGCUAACGCGUUAAGUGUUCCGCCUGGGGAGUACGCACGCAAGUGUGAAACUCAAAGGAAUUGACGGGGGCCCGCACAAGCGGUGGAGUAUGUGGUUUAAUUCGAUGCAACGCGAAGAACCUUACCAGGGUUUGACAUCCUGCGAACCUCUUAGAAAUUUGAGGGUGCCUUCGGGAAUGCAGUGACAGGUGGUGCAUGGCUGUCGUCAGCUCGUGUCGUGAGAUGUUGGGUUAAGUCCCGCAACGAGCGCAACCCACGUUUUUAGUUGCCAGCAUUUAGUUGGGCACUCUAGAAAGACCGCCGGUGAUAAACCGGAGGAAGGUGUGGAUGACGUCAAGUCAUCAUGCCCCUUACACCCUGGGCUACACACGUACUACAAUGCUACGGACAAAGGGCAGCAAACUCGCGAGAGCUAGCAAAUCCCAUAAACCGUGGCUCAGUUCAGAUCGUAGGCUGCAACUCGCCUACGUGAAGUAGGAAUCGCUAGUAAUCGCAGGUCAGCAUACUGCGGUGAAUACGUUCCCGGGCCUU